ensembl:lncRNA
UAAUUUUUUAAUAUUUUUAUAAUUUUUUAAAUAAUUUUUAUAAUUCUACUAAACUAAUGAAGUUAAGGAAGGAUUGGUAGAGGCAAGGACAAAGGGCCCAAAGAAAUCUCACAACACAGGAGUUCUUUCUUUGAUCCAAACAGCAAAUCCCAGUAAGGUGUCACCAGCAACAGCAGAGUUCACCACUCUAUCAACAGCAGUAAAUCCAGGCAGACUAUCAGGACAGUCAAAGAGAGGAAACCAAUGGCUUUUCUGGGUCCACCCCAGAAGUACCAAACAGCUACCCUCUGGGUAGCCUGACAGCUAGAGCAAAAGCAGGCUUCUUUCUCUUCCAGAGUCCACCAACUGCCAGCACCAGCCUGUGUGUUCCGUUCAUCCCUUCCUGGGAGCUUUGGAAUGUUGGUCCUGUCAUUGCCCUGUGGGAUCUUUUGCUUCUUGCUUUUUGCAAAGCGAAUCCCUUACAACAAAUCCAAAUCUCAAAUAAUCACAAGUUAUUAUGACAUCAUUAAUGGCUGGAGCAGUGUCAAAGAGACCAUCUCCCAGGCCCAUUGCUAGGGCACUGCCCAAUUUCCGAGAUGUCAAAUAGAAAGGUAACUACGCAGAUUGGGGUACAUAGGCUUCUCUUUCUCCCACAAUGAGAAGAGGGAGGGUUGGUUCUAAUACAAAUGUUCUAUUUCUUUAGAUGGCAGAAAAGCUCCAGCUCUGCUUGUUUCCAAGCAGAAAAGAAGACAGAUCACUGGAUCACUGGAAGCCCUCGGCAGCCUGCCAUGGAGAGGGGCUCUUGGGGAGAGAAGAAGCCUGUUUCAAGCCCAGAUGCUCUUAUUUACUUGUUGUCUGCCUCUUGUCAUUUCCCCUGGGCAGGGAAGCCAGGCCCUUCUCCUCCUGCUUGCCUAAGUUCAGUCACUCCUUCUUGCUCAUCCUACCCUUCCAUGAGGGAUGUACAGUGUUCAAAAAGGACUAGCACCUCUGGUGUGAGGGCUUACCAAGUCCUUUUCAAGGUUGCUCAUCUACUCUAGUGUCCACUUGGCACUCAACUCUCACCCAUGACUCCAAGAGGCAUGCACAGGGGCUACAUCCCAGUAAACCAGGUUGGAAAUUACCAAUGGGUCCCAAAUUCAUCUUUGAGUUAGAGGGUUGCAUAUUCCAUGUAUGUGAAGACUUCCCCCGGUGGAAUGGGGGGAUAAGAAUAAUUUCUUCCAAUGGCCAUUAAGGUGGCUGGAGCAUCUAGAGCUUGGUCAGACAUGAAAGAACAUCCAAUGCAUCCCAGGCCAUUGCCAGGCCUGACUUUUGUUCUUCCACUGGACAUUGAUGAUUCUGGAAGAUAGAGUGAGACUUGAUGACUUUGCACAACUCUGUCUCACUUAAGUCCAAUUCAUGGGCAAGUUAAGAUGUCCCCUUGAUAUCAUUAGUCCUCUCUGAAAUGAAGGACAAACAACAACCACCUUCCAGAAACAUUUCCCUUCUCCUCAUAUAGCUGUCUUCCAGUAGUACUAUGUAACACAAACAAAUGACAGGAUUUGGUGACAUUGAAAAGGAUGAGGGCGAUGCCACAGGAUUCUAGCUAGAGAUCAGUGUUAGAUUAUGGAGGACAAGCUAAGAAGUUGCGAGGAUAAAUGGAAAACUUGUUUUCCAUUAGAGAAAGAGAAUAAGUGGGAGGGAGGUUCAGUUUAAAAGGGAAAAUUAAGGGAAGCCAUCAACAAGGAAAGCAAAGAUGGAGCCAGAGGAAGAGCAAAGGUGAGAAGUCUGUCUGAGCAAGAGAUGUCUUUCUGAGAAUCCUCAAUAUGGGGAAGAGAUGAAGCCAGAGGACAUAAGUUAAUUCAGGUAAUGAAAGUCUAGAGACAAAUGUUGGGCCAAGGAUUGAGCCUUCGGGGAAAAGCCAGUAGCUUAGAGGAAAGAUAAAAGAGCCAAAGAAAAGAAAAAUUAAACAGCAGAGUGAGCAAAAGAAAUGUAGUUUCAUUAAAAGAAUCAAAGGACAGUUUCACAAAGGAUAGUCUAUAAUGACGAUGGGGUGUGGGAUGGUGGUGGAAGAGAAUGAUAGGUCAUUGUGAAGGAAUUAGGUCAGCAGAUCACCUGAAUUUGGUUCAAGAGGAAACCCCACCCCAGAGGGGAGCAGCUUAGGGGGUGCAGGAGAUGUGGCCACCCCAAAGGGGAAGGGAGCAGCACAGCCCACCUGUGGCAGAGGUAGAGGGAAUGACAGCUCUUCUCACUGUCAUAGCAUCUGUCACUGCUAACCUAGGAGAGCUCUGAAGGGAAAUUGAAGAAUGCAAGUUGGAACUCACAGGAAAACCAUCAAAGAUGGUGAUGAGAAUAAAAGGGGUGGCGGGGGGUGGGGGGGGCA